rnacentral:rRNA from 1 species
GACGAACGCUGGCGGCGUGCUUAACACAUGCCAGUCGAACGGAAAGGCCCUGCUUUUGUGGGGUGCUCGAGUGGCGAACGGGUGAGUAACACGUGAGUAACCUGCCCUUGACUUUGGGAUAACUUCAGGAAACUGGGGCUAAUACCGGAUAGGAGCUCCUGCUGCAUGGUGGGGGUUGGAAAGUUUCGGCGGUUGGGGAUGGACUCGCGGCUUAUCAGCUUGUUGGUGGGGUAGUGGCUUACCAAGGCUUUGACGGGUAGCCGGCCUGAGAGGGUGACCGGCGACAUUGGGACUGAGAGACGGACCAGACUCCUACGGGAGGCAGCAGUGGGGAAUAUUGCACAAUGGGCGGAAGCCUGAUGCAGCAACGCCGCGUGCGGGAUGACGGCCUUCGGGUUGUAAACCGCUUUCGCCUGUGACGAAGCGUGAGUGACGGUAAUGGGUAAAGAAGCACCGGCUAACUACGUG